UUUUUCAGGCUCCUCCUCCUCCGGCAACGACAGUCAGCAUGGAGCAGUUCGACUUGCUGGUUCAGCAGGUCAGGGGCCUCAUCAAAGUAGUGCAGGCCAUGCAGCAGUAGCAGCAGCAACAGCUACAGGCAUUUGUGCGGCUGGAAAGAGCAUCGUCGGAGUUCCAGAAUCUGGCGACCGGGUAGGCCACUUGGGCCAGUCGCCCUGUCUUUCCUGGAAAGGGGAAGCAG
rnacentral:lncRNA from 1 species